GUCUGAUCACUGGAGACUUUACCUCAGUGGCUUCUGGGCAGUGGAUUUCAACUACAUGAAUUUUCCUCCUAAGAGACUUGUAUGUUGAUGAUCAUAAAUGGGCAUAUGUAACAAAUGCAAUUAUCAAGAGUAAGGGUCGCUGCACUCUGACACUAAUUCCAAUACAUUUUCCUGUAGAGCUAUAUAACAGGGAAGAGCAUGCACCAUUUAAAACCAACAUGCAUCCCUGGCAGUAGGAAAAAAACAAUUCUCACCUAGUGCAGAGAAUUCGAGCCAAGGAGCACUAAGGAAUCAUCUACAUUAACAAACACAAGAAAGAAUACUUUGAGCUUUUCCCUACUAAUGAGAAACCCUAACCCCAG